rnacentral:rRNA from 1 species
UACGGGGGGGGCAAGCGUUGUUCGGAAUUACUGGGCGUAAAGCGUGCGCAGGCGGUUGUGUAAGACAGAUGUGAAAUCCCCGGGCUCAACCUGGGAACUGCAUUUGUGACUGCACGGCUGGAGUGCGGCAGAGGGGGAUGGAAUUCCGCGUGUAGCAGUGAAAUGCGUAGAUAUGCGGAGGAACACCGAUGGCGAAGGCAAUCCCCUGGGCCUGCACUGACGCUCAUGCACGAAAGCGUGGGGAGCAAACAGG